rnacentral:rRNA from 1 species
AGGAAUAUUGGUCAAUGGGCGCAGGCCUGAACCAGCCAAGUAGCGUGAAGGAUGACUGCCCUAUGGGUUGUAAACUUCUUUUAUAAAGGAAUAAAGUCGGGUAUGUAUACCCGUUUGCAUGUACUUUAUGAAUAAGGAUCGGCUAACUCCGUGCCAGCAGCCGCGGUAAUACGGAGGAUCCGAGCGUUAUCCGGAUUUAUUGGGUUUAAAGGGAGCGUAGAUGGAUGUUUAAGUCAGUUGUGAAAGUUUGCGGCUCAACCGUAAAAUUGCAGUUGAUACUGGAUAUCUUGAGUGCAGUUGAGGCAGGCGGAAUUCGUGGUGUAGCGGUGAAAUGCUUAGAUAUCACGAAGAACUCCGAUUGCGAAGGCAGCCUGCUAAGCUGCAACUGACAUUGAGGCUCGAAAGUGUGGGUAUCAAACAGGAUUAGAUACCCUGGUAGUCCACACGGUAAACGAUGAAUACUCGCUGUUUGCGAUAUACUGCAAGCGGCCAAGCGAAAGCGUUAAGUAUUCCACCUGGGGAGUACGCCGGCAACGGUGAAACUCAAAGGAAUUGACGGGGGCCCGCACAAGCGGAGGAACAUGUGGUUUAAUUCGAUGAUACGCGAGGAACCUUACCCGGGCUUAAAUUGCAGAUGAAUUACGGUGAAAGCCGUAAGCCGCAAGGCAUCUGUGAAGGUGCUGCAUGGUUGUCGUCAGCUCGUGCCGUGAGGUGUCGGCUUAAGUGCCAUAACGAGCGCAACCCUUGUUGUCAGUUACUAACAGGUUCCGCUGAGGACUCUGACAAGACUGCCAUCGUAAGAUGUGAGGAAGGUGGGGAUGACGUCAAAUCAGCACGGCCCUUACGUCCGGGGCUACACACGUGUUACAAUGGGGGGUACGGAGGGCCGCUACCACGCGAGUGGAUGCCAAUCCCCAAAACCUCUCUCAGUUCGGACUGGAGUCUGCAACCCGACUCCACGAAGCUGGAUUCGCUAGUAAUCGCGCAUCAGCCACGGCGCGGUGAAUACGUUCCCG